rnacentral:ncRNA from 1 species
UCGCUUUACUUCCGCCAAGGUGCGCCCGACUGUUGCAGUGGGCGUUAAACGGGAAGCCGGUGCGCUCGUCACGAGCCAUUCCGGCGCUGCCCCCGCAACGGUAAGCCACCGCAGCCUCGCGCUGCCAUGUCGAUCGACACGCCACUGGGGGUUCCCCCGGGAAGGCGAUCGACAGGGAAAGUUCGCUUUCAGUGGCAAGCCCGGAGACCGGCCUGGACGGAUUCGACUGGU